rnacentral:misc_RNA from 1 species
UCAAACUUGGUCAUUUAGAGGAAGUAAAAGUCGUAACAAGGUUUCCGUAGGUGAACCUGCGGAAGGAUCAUUAUCGUUGGGCUUCGGCCCAUUCGAGAUAACACCCUUGCCUUUUUGAGUACCUUUUCGUUUCCUCGGCAGGCUCGCCUGCCAACGGGGACCCUUCAAAACGCUUUGUAGUACCUGUAACUGUCUGAUACAACAAGCAAAAAUCAAAACUUUCAACAACGGAUCUCUUGGUUCUGGCAUCGAUGAAGAACGCAGC